rnacentral:tRNA from 1 species
GCAUCGGUGGUUCAGUGGUAGAAUGCCCGCCUGCCACGCCCGGGUUUAUUCCCGGCCGAUGCA